AACGAACCCUGGCGGCAUGCCUAACACAUGCAAGUCGAACGAGACCUUCGGGUCUAGUGGCGCACGGGUGCGUAACGCGUGGGAACCUGCCCUUAGGUUCGGAAUAACUCCCCGAAAGGGGUGCUAAUACCGGAUAAUGUCUUCGGACCAAAGAUUUAUCGCCUUUGGAUGGGCCCGCGUUGGAUUAGCUAGUUGGUAGGGUAAAAGCCUACCAAGGCGACGAUCCAUAGCUGGUCUGAGAGGAUGAUCAGCCACACUGGGACUGCGACACGGCCCAGACUCCUACGGGAGGCAGCAGUGGGGAAUAUUGGACAAUGGGCGAAAGCCUGAUCCAGCAAUGCCGCGUGAGUGAUGAAGGCCUUAGGGUUGUAAAGCUCUUUUACCCGGGAUGAUAAUGACAGUACCGGGAGAAUAAGCUCCGGCUAACUCCGUG
rnacentral:rRNA from 1 species